ACGGGAGGCAGCAGUGAGGAAUAUUGGUCAAUGGGCGGAAGCCUGAACCAGCCAUGCCGCGUGAAGGAUUGAGGCCCUAUGGGUCGUAAACUUCUUUUGACGGGGAGCAAUAAGGGUCACGUGUGGCCCGAUGAGAGUACUCGUCGAAUAAGCAUCGGCUAACUCCGUGCCAGCAGCCGCGGUAAUACGGAGGAUGCAAGCGUUAUCCGGAUUUAUUGGGUUUAAAGGGUGCGUAGGCUGUGCCGCAAGUCAGGGGUGAAAUGCCCGGGCCUAACCCGGGAACUGCCUUUGAUACUGCGGUGCUGGAAUACUGUUGCCGUGGGAGGAAUGAGUAGUGUAGCGGUGAAAUGCAUAGAUAUUACUCAGAACACCGAUUGCGAAGGCAUCUCACGAAGCAGCGAUUGACGCUGAGGCACGAAAGCGUGGGGAUCAAACAGGAUUAGAUACCCUGGUA
rnacentral:rRNA from 2 species